rnacentral:rRNA from 1 species
AUGAACGCUAGCUACAGGCUUAACACAUGCAAGUCGAGGGGCAGCAUGGUCUUAGCUUGCUAAGGCCGAUGGCGACCGGCGCACGGGUGAGUAACACGUAUCCAACCUGCCGUCUACUCUUGGACAGCCUUCUGAAAGGAAGAUUAAUACAAGAUGGCAUCAUGAGUCCACAUGUUCACAUGAUUAAAGGUAUUCCGGUAGACGAUGGGGAUGCGUUCCAUUAGAUAGUAGGCGGGGUAACGGCCCACCUAGUCUUCGAUGGAUAGGGGUUCUGAGAGGAAGGUCCCCCACAUUGGAACUGAGACACGGUCCAAACUCCUACGGGAGGCAGCAGUGAGGAAUAUUGGUCAAUGGGCGCAGGCCUGAACCAGCCAAGUAGCGUGAAGGAUGACUGCCCUAUGGGUUGUAAACUUCUUUUAUAAAGGAAUAAAGUCGGGUAUGUAUACCCGUUUGCAUGUACUUUAUGAAUAAGGAUCGGCUAACUCCGUGCCAGCAGCCGCGGUAAUACGGAGGAUCCGAGCGUUAUCCGGAUUUAUUGGGUUUAAAGGGAGCGUAGAUGGAUGUUUAAGUCAGUUGUGAAAGUUUGCGGCUCAACCGUAAAAUUGCAGUUGAUACUGGAUAUCUUGAGUGCAGUUGAGGCAGGCGGAAUUCGUGGUGUAGCGGUGAAAUGCUUAGAUAUCACGAAGAACUCCGAUUGCGAAGGCAGCCUGCUAAGCUGCAACUGACAUUGAGGCUCGAAAGUGUGGGUAUCAAACAGGAUUAGAUACCCUGGUAGUCCACGCCGUAAACGAUGAUUACUAGGAGUUGGUGGGUACGACCCAUCGGUGCCGCAGCAAACGCAAUAAGUAAUCCACCUGGGGAGUACGGCCGCAAGGUUGAAACUCAAAGGAAUUGACGGGGGCCCGCACAAGCGGUGGAGUAUGUGGUUUAAUUCGAAGCAACGCGAAGAACCUUACCAGGGCUUGACAUCCUACUAACGAGGCAGAGAUGCGUUAGGUGCCCUUCGGGGAAAGUAGAGACAGGUGGUGCAUGGUUGUCGUCAGCUCGUGCCGUGAGGUGUCGGCUUAAGUGCCAUAACGAGCGCAACCCUUGUUGUCAGUUACUAACAGGUUCUGCUGAGGACUCUGACAAGACUGCCAUCGUAAGAUGUGAGGAAGGUGGGGAUGACGUCAAAUCAGCACGGCCCUUACGUCCGGGGCUACACACGUGUUACAAUGGGGGGUACAGAGGGCCGCUACCACGCGAGUGGAUGCCAAUCCCAAAAACCUCUCUCAGUUCGGACUGGAGUCUGCAACCCGACUCCACGAAGCUGGAUUCGCUAGUAAUCGCGCAUCAGCCACGGCGCGGUGAAUACGUUCCCGGGCCUUGUACACACCGCCCGUCAAGCCAUGGGAGCCGGGGGUACCUGAAGUGCGUAACCGCGAGGAGCGCCCUAGGGUAAAACUGGUGACUGGGGCU